rnacentral:lncRNA from 1 species
GCAAAGGCUUGAAACUGCUCCAAUUUAUAACAUUAGAGAAAUUUCAAUUUUUGAUGUAAUAAUGAAACAGUCCAGUAGAAGAGACAUUUGGAGAAAAAAGUUCAGAAACAAAAGCAAAUAUGAGAUUAGAAUACGAGGAAUAAUGAGACCUGGAGCUUGUUUUCUACUUUCGUUGCCGUAAACCAAGGGGAAUGAAUGUACGUGGGACUGUGGUGACCACGGUAACUGAAAACAUCACAACCAGCGCUGUGUGAGGCCUCCCUUUCCUCACAUCCCCCGUGACACUCUUUCCUGACAUUAACCAUCUCUACUACGGUGAGAUUUUGAUUUUUAUACUCUUGAAAAUUAGUGAUUCGGAGAAUAUUUCCAAAUGC